GCGGGAUGCGGCAGUGCCGGGCCGCGGGGCUGGCGGGGCUGGCCGCGGUGUUCCUGGUGGCUGUGAGCAGAGCCCAGGUGCAGCAAGAGCCGUCGGCAGUGACCAGCGAGGGCACCGCAAUCAGCAUCACCUGCUCACACCCUAACAUUCAGUCUUACGCUGAGAUACACUGGUACCGCCAGCUCCCGGGCCGAGGACCCGCGUUCAUCGGGUUCAUUCACGAAGGCUCCAAGGAGGUGCCGGACCCGGCGGGGCAGCUCUUGGUGUCGGCAGACCGCCGCUCCAGUGCCCUGCGGCUCGCCCGGCCCCAGCUCAGGGACGCGGCGGUGUAUUACUGUUCUGUAGACCCACAGGAAGCGAAGCCGGGGCUGCGGCCGGGCACGAACCGCGGCGGGCGGCACAGUUCGGCCCGCAGGGGGCGCUGCCGUUGCUGGAGGACCCAGCCCAGAGUUCAAUGAUAUGCUCGCGGUUGCUUUCCAAGAGCAUGAGUUAUUUUAACAGUGUUUCGUCUUGCCCUAAACACAGCACCUUUGGUACAGAGAUGAUAUCCUGACAAUACAGCAAGUAUCCGCACUUGAUGCUCAUUCUAGUGACCCCUUUUGAUAACUCAUUUCUUGCCACAGUGCUAAUUUAUCCGCACAGGAUCCUUAAAGAGAAGAGCUGGUGGCCGCCUGUUCUCACUGCCUUUGAGAAGGCAUUAAAGAUAUUUAGCUUGUGGUUAGCUAAGCCAGGGGGUUUCUGCAGCCCAUGUUGAAUCAGAAGGCUAUGUGCGCAUAUACUUGACAGCUGAGCAGAAGGUUGUGGUUAGAAGUCCUUUCUGCCUGAGCUGGAACGUGUCUCUCUGUCCCUUUGAGGUGCUUUCUACAGUAGGAGCUGUGCAUGGAGAUGUUUCCCUUCUAGAACUUGGUCCAUGCCCCGGAAAUGGGGAAAGUUGGAGAGAAAGUUGGCACCUGGUUGUAGGUUCCUUUGUGUGUGACUGGUCUUACCUCCACCCAGACAGUCUCCAGGGAAACAGAGGAGAAGGGCAGUAGAAGCAAUCCCUUCUCCGUUGGCAGCACAGGUAGGUGCAGGUAUCUGAGUCUUGCUGAGUUUUGGAUGGCAGGGGUAGCUCACUGAGGACACUUACUCUUUGCUGGGACUGGCUGUGAGCAUCAGGAAGGGCAAAGUGGGGGAAGUACAUAGUGGUAACUUUUGGGACUUUUUACCUUAUCACUGACUAAGUGACCUUCACAACCAGCAAAUUCAGCUGUGGCCUGACCACACAAGGCAGUUGUACUUGAAGAUCUCCGUAGGUCCCUUGCAAUCUUUCCAUUCCAUGUAAGAAGCUCCCAGUGCUGAAAAGUCUGUGCCUGACCAUAGGUAACCCUCACCACAGGACAGAUUGAUUUUUCUCUUGAGAGGUUUAACCACCAGUUCCUCUUCAUUCUUGAGAUCCUUACUGUGGGAGAGGUGUGGCCCUUAGGAGCAGCAGCAGAGGGCUUUGCUCCACCCCCACUGUUGAAGUCUAAAGGCUGCUUAUAGCUGGCAGAGAGAGAAGCUGCCAGCUUCAGCUCUCGUAUUCCAAGCACUGCAUGGUACCCAGUGAAGGCAAGAGUGUGACAUGGUCCUGCUUUUUCUGACAGCCUUGAUGGGACUGACAGACUUUGGUGAGAUGUGAUAUUCUGAGGGGGAAGACUGGGGUAAGAUAGCACCCUGUCAUUUCUGGAGAGGGGGGAAAUACAAAUGCUAUCUUCCUGGUAGAAUUGGAAAUAUUUUCUGUAGGUAUAGCAGGGCCUGCAGAUGGGUACAGCAAAUAAUCUGGCAGAUGUCAGGAGCAACGACAGUAUGGAGAUGAAUAGGUCUCUGGCCUUUUCUUUUGCAGUUACCUAGCAUAUUACAUGCACUGUUCAUAGGUAUGUAUGGUGAAAGAAGGAUUGCUGCUAGGGAACAGGCCAGAACAGUAGAUAGAAGCUUGUGUCCUCCUGAUGUACUGGAGAAAAUGCUAUUAGUCUGUGUGGAGAUAAGUAUAAUCCUUGAUAGAGCAGAAAAUAAGGCUGAGUCCAUGCAAGAACUUAGAUGAGGCUCAAGGACAAAGCACAGACAGAAUACGUAGGAUGAAGUAUGGAGUAAAUUUCACAGUAAGAAAUCACAAAGUGAGGAGGACAUAGCUCACCUCUUCUGCCAAAAGAAAUAAAGGGUUAAUACAGCUCAGAAAUUGACAGAAUAGAUGGAUUCAGAGCCUAGAGUGAUAAGACAGGUAAGCUGACAGCCUUGGGUAUGAGUAGCGAAAGAAAAGUGCAUGUGUACUUAGCUCAGGAUUUUACAGCCUGUGAAAAGUGAAAUGUAGAGUGGGACAGUGAGCAGGUUGGUACAAUGAUAGAUACAUGAGAGAGAGAAUGGAUAUAUAGUCAAGCUGUGCUGAAAUGUCUUUCUGGCUUUACAGGUCGUGCACAGAAGGACUUUGUGCUGCAGUAUCCACAAAAAA